rnacentral:rRNA from 1 species
UAUUACAGUCAUAUCACCAUGCAGCCCAAGACCGGUUACUACUGAAGUUUAGCAGGGUUGAGCCUCAGUAGUAUCUGGAUGGUAGACCACAUGGAAAAACUAGGUUGCUGUUGGAA